CCUACGGGCGGCAGCAGUGGGGAAUAUUGGACAAUGGGCGAAAGCCUGAUCCAGCCAUGCCGCGUGUGUGAAGAAGGCCUUCGGGUUGUAAAGCACUUUCAGUGGGGAAGAAAGCCUUGGGGCUAAUACCCUCGAGGAAGGACAUCACCCACAGAAGAAGCACCGGCUAACUCCGUGCCAGCAGCCGCGGUAAUACGGAGGGUGCGAGCGUUAAUCGGAAUUACUGGGCGUAAAGCGCGCGUAGGCGGUCUGAUAAGCCGGUUGUGAAAGCCCCGGGCUCAACCUGGGAACGGCAUCCGGAACUGUCAGGCUAGAGUGCAGGAGAGGAAGGUAGAAUUCCCGGUGUAGCGGUGAAAUGCGUAGAGAUCGGGAGGAAUACCAGUGGCGAAGGCGGCCUUCUGGACUGACACUGACGCUGAGGUGCGAAAGCGUGGGUAGCAAACAGGAUUAGAUCCCCCAGUAGUC
rnacentral:rRNA from 1 species